CCUACGGGAGGCAGCAGUGGGGAAUUUUGGACAAUGGGGGCAACCCUGAUCCAGCAAUGCCGCGUGAGUGAAGAAGGCCUUCGGGUUGUAGAGCUCUUUUGUCAGGGAAGAAACAGCAGCUCUAACACAGUCUGCGAAUGACGGUACCUGAAGAAUAAGCACCGGCUAACUACGUGCCAGCAGCCGCGGUAAUACGUAGGGUGCGAGCGUUAAUCGGAAUUACUGGGCGUAAAGCGUGCGCAGGCGGUUAUACAAGACAGGCGUGAAAUCCCCGGGCUUAACCUGGGAAUGGCGUCAGUGACUGUAUAGCUAGAGUGUGUCAGAGGGGGGUGGAAUUCCACGUGUAGCAGUGAAAUGCGUAGAUAUGUGGAGGAACACCAAUGGCGAAGGCAGCCCCCUGGGAUAACACUGACGCUCAUGCACGAAAGCGUGGGGAGCAAACAGGAUUAGAUACCCUGGUAGUCCACGCCCUAAACGAUGCUGACUAGUUGUUGGGAAUUUACAUUCUCAGUAACGUAGCUAACGCGUGAAGUCAGCCGCCUGGGGAGUACGGUCGCAAGAUUAAAACUCAAAGGAAUUGACGG
rnacentral:rRNA from 1 species